UCCAAAUGUUUGGGUGGAUUUAAAAAAAAAAAGGAAUUUCUCAGGCAAAAACCUUCAUUAGAAGUUCAAAAGAAUUGAUCACUUCAGCCCCAAACCGUCUUUCCAGAGUCCUCAGAAAGGCGCAAAUAUUAAGACGAUCUGGAAGUUCAAAGCUAAGCAGACAACAGCAUCUUUCCUCCUCAUCUUUGGAUUUCUGGGCACCCUUGAAAAUGAGCAUCACAAGCUGCUUUCACUUCUUCCACUCCUCAAGAAGGUCCUACUUUCUCUGUCCUUUGGACUCAUGCAAAUGCCAUAAUCCUGAUCAGUUUGUCCUUUGCUCCAGUGGCUUCCAGCACCAGGGCAUUGGCACCAUGUAAUGGUUUGUUUGCUUGUGUAUAACAUGUAGGCAGCAGCAACACCUAAGAGUUAUUCUUAGAGAGAUUCAGGCAGAGAAAACGUUCCUGACGGUAAACUCAGUGGGUGGGAUUUUCACACACGGCAAAGUGAUUUAGGAGCACAUGUCCCGUCACCUAUAUCACUUUGACAUCCAGCAUCUUUAAAGAAAUGUACCACAGCUCACAAUAAGUAUUUACUUCAAGUGCUUACACCUGAAUAUUCAGACAAACCGAAUUUAUUACACUACCUCUAGUGACCUCUGGUGACUCCCACUAGUAUUACACUUUUUCCCUCUAUUUUGGCUCCCUCUG
rnacentral:lncRNA from 1 species